rnacentral:rRNA from 1 species
GAUGAACGCUGGCGGCGUGCCUAAUACAUGCAAGUCGAGCGAACAGACGAGGAGCUUGCUCCUCUGACGUUAGCGGCGGACGGGUGAGUAACACGUGGAUAACCUACCUAUAAGACUGGGAUAACUUCGGGAAACCGGAGCUAAUACCGGAUAAUAUAUUGACCCGCAUGGUUCAAUAGUUAAAGACGGUUUUGCUGUCACUUAUAGAUGGAUCCGCGCCGCAUUAGCUAGUUGGUAAGGUAACGGCUUACCAAGGCGACGAUGCGUAGCCGACCUGAGAGGGUGAUCGGCCACACUGGAACUGAGACACGGUCCAGACUCCUACGGGAGGCAGCAGUAGGGAAUCUUCCGCAAUGGGCGAAAGCCUGACGGAGCAACGCCGCGUGAGUGAUGAAGGUCUUCGGAUCGUAAAACUCUGUUAUUAGGGAAGAACAAAUGUGUAAGUAACUAUGCACGUCUUGACGGUACCUAAUCAGAAAGCCACGGCUAACUACGUG